GAUGAACGCUAGCUACAGGCUUAACACAUGCAAGUCGAGGGGCAGCAUGGUCUUAGCUUGCUAAGGCCGAUGGCGACCGGCGCACGGGUGAGUAACACGUAUCCAACCUGCCGUCUACUCUUGGACAGCCUUCUGAAAGGAGGAUUAAUACAAGAUGGCAUCAUGAGUCCGCAUGUUCACAUGAUUAAAGGUAUUCCGGUAGACGAUGGGGAUGCGUUCCAUUAGAUAGUAGGCGGGGUAACGGCCCACCUAGUCUUCGAUGGAUAGGGGUUCUGAGAGGAAGGUCCCCCACAUUGGAACUGAGACACGGUCCAAACUCCUACGGGAGGCAGCAGUGAGGAAUAUUGGUCAAUGGGCGCAGGCCUGAACCAGCCAAGUAGCGUGAAGGAUGACUGCCCUAUGGGUUGUAAACUUCUUUUAUAAAGGAAUAAAGUCGGGUAUGUAUACCCGUUUGCAUGUACUUUAUGAAUAAGGAUCGGCUAACUCCGUG
rnacentral:rRNA from 1 species